CCUACGGGUGGCAGCAGUUAGGAAUUUUGCGCAAUGGGCGAAAGCCUGACGCAGCAACGCCGCGUGAGGGAUGAAGGCCUUCGGGUUGUAAACCUCUUUAAGCAGGGAAGAAAAAAAUGACGGUACCUGCAGAAUAAGCACCGGCUAACUCUGUGCCAGCAGCCGCGGUAAUACAGAGGGUGCAAGCGUUAUUCGGAAUUACUGGGCGUAAAGAGCGCGUAGGCUGUUUGAUAAGUCUGAUGUGAAAGCCCUGGACUCAAUCCAGGAAGUGCAUC
rnacentral:rRNA from 1 species